UUUUACAACUGAAUCAGAGGUAUUAUUGCCCCCUGGCCUCCCUCCAAGUACUAGGAUAUUCUUGUUGUUUCUUGACCAUGUAGUAUUCCAAAUCCCAUUUGCUUAAAGAAACCUGUCCUGUCAAUGCCAUUUUUUCCUGCCCAGUCACAUGCUCAAAUUUGAACAAAGUUGGGUUAUCUGUACACUGAUGCGAGUCGAUGAAAGAUUGACAAAGCAGUUUUGGUAAUGAAUAUAUCCCUCUGAUAUUUUAUGUUCUCUGAUAUAUUUUGUUUUCAAGAUAUA